rnacentral:lncRNA from 1 species
UUUCUCAGCCUUAUUCCUGCGAUUCCAACUUCCAAAUGAAGAUCUGCAACAAAGGUUCGUUAAUCGAAUCAAUUUUGCAAUCCCAGUUCAUCAGAUCUUCGUUUGGAACUUGGAAUCGCAGGAAUAAGGGUGAGAUAUUGAGGAUCUUGGAAUGAAACAGUACGUAUUUUUUUGUGGAGAGUAGUUAAUAUCUUUUAUAAAAAUAUAAAAAUUAAAUGAGGGUAUAAUCAAAACUACGUAGUUUUGAUGGUUUCGCAUGUAACUUACAUGUAUAACAGCCUUAUAUUCCCUUUCCCCAUAUAAUAAUAAUACAAAAGGACUUCACGUUAAGUUGACCUUGACUUCUCAUAGUUGCUUUACUCCCAUGAAUACACACACAUACUUCUCUAAACUCAUCACAAUCCACAUCACCGGAAAACCUUCCUCUCCAGCUAAAAAUGAGUUACAGCGGCUACUCUCC